rnacentral:rRNA from 1 species
UAACACGUGGGUAACCUGCCCAUAAGACUGGGAUAACUCCGGGAAACCGGGGCUAAUACCGGAUAACAUUUUGAACCGCAUGGUUCGAAAUUGAAAGGCGGCUUCGGCUGUCACUUAUGGAUGGACCCGCGUCGCAUUAGCUAGUUGGUGAGGUAACGGCUCACCAAGGCAACGAUGCGUAGCCGACCUGAGAGGGUGAUCGGCCACACUGGGACUGAGACACGGCCCAGACUCCUACGGGAGGCAGCAGUAGGGAAUCUUCCGCAAUGGACGAAAGUCUGACGGAGCAACGCCGCGUGAGUGAUGAAGGCUUUCGGGUCGUAAAACUCUGUUGUUAGGGAAGAACAAGUGCUAGUUGAAUAAGCUGGCACCUUGACGGUACCUAACCAGAAAGCCACGGCUAACUACGUGCCAGCAGCCGCGGUAAUACGUAGGUGGCAAGCGUUAUCCGGAAUUAUUGGGCGUAAAGCGCGCGCAGGUGGUUUCUUAAGUCUGAUGUGAAAGCCCACGGCUCAACCGUGGAGGGUCAUUGGAAACUGGGAGACUUGAGUGCAGAAGAGGAAAGUGGAAUUCCAUGUGUAGCGGUGAAAUGCGUAGAGAUAUGGAGGAACACCAGUGGCGAAGGCGACUUUCUGGUCUGUAACUGACACUGAGGCGCGAAAGCGUGGGG